rnacentral:rRNA from 1 species
UGCAGUCGAACGGUAACAGGAAACAGCUUGCUGUUUCGCUGACGAGUGGCGGACGGGUGAGUAAUGUCUGGGAAACUGCCUGAUGGAGGGGGAUAACUACUGGAAACGGUAGCUAAUACCGCAUAACGUCGCAAGACCAAAGAGGGGGACCUUCGGGCCUCUUGCCAUCGGAUGUGCCCAGAUGGGAUUAGCUAGUAGGUGGGGUAACGGCUCACCUAGGCGACGAUCCCUAGCUGGUCUGAGAGGAUGACCAGCCACACUGGAACUGAGACACGGUCCAGACUCCUACGGGAGGCAGCAGUGGGGAAUAUUGCACAAUGGGCGCAAGCCUGAUGCAGCCAUGCCGCGUGUAUGAAGAAGGCCUUCGGGUUGUAAAGUACUUUCAGCGGGGAGGAAGGGAGUAAAGUUAAUACCUUUGCUCAUUGACGUUACCCGCAGAAGAAGCACCGGCUAACUCCGUGCCAGCAGCCGCGGUAAUACGGAGGGUGCAAGCGUUAAUCGGAAUUACUGGGCGUAAAGCGCACGCAGGCGGUUUGUUAAGUCAGAUGUGAAAUCCCCGGGCUCAACCUGGGAACUGCAUCUGAUACUGGCAAGCUUGAGUCUCGUAGAGGGGGGUAGAAUUCCAGGUGUAGCGGUGAAAUGCGUAGAGAUCUGGAGGAAUACCGGUGG